rnacentral:rRNA from 1 species
GGCUAAAUACUCCUGACUGACCGAUAGUGAACCAGUACCGUGAGGGAAAGGCGAAAAGAACCCCGGCGAGGGGAGUGAAAAAGAACCUGAAACCGUGUACGUACAAGCAGUGGGAGCCCCACCACUAAGCCAGUGGUGAACUCCACAUCCGCAUCCUUUGCUGAGGAUACGGUUAACGGAGCGAAAGCGACGUUCAACCGCAAAACAAGCAGAGGGGGCUUAGUGGUGGGGUGACUGCGUACCUUUUGUAUAAUGGGUCAGCGACUUAUAUUCUGUAGCAAGGUUAACCGAAUAGGGGAGCCGGAGGGAAACCGAGUCUUAAUUGGGCGUUAAGUUGCAGGGUAUAGACCCGAAACCCGGUGAUCUAGCCAUGGGCAGGUUGAAGGUUGGGUAACACUAACUGGAGGACCGAACCGACUAAUGUUGAAAAAUUAGCGGAUGACCUGUGGCUGGGGGUGAAAGGCCAAUCAAACCGGGAGAUAGCUGGUUCUCCCCGAAAGCUAUUUAGGUAGCGCCUCGUGAAUUCAUCUCCGGGGGUAGAGCACUGUUUCGGCUAGGGGGCCAUCCCGGCUUACCAACCCGAUGCAAACUGCGAAUACCGGAGAAUGUUAUCACGGGAGACACACGGCGGGUGCUAACGUCCGUCGUGAAGAGGGAAACAACCCAGACCGCCAGCUAAGGUCCCAAAGUCAUGGUUAAGUGGGAAACGAUGUGGGAAGGCCCAGACAGCCAGGAUGUUGGCUUAGAAGCAGCCAUCAUUUAAAGAAAGCGUAAUAGCUCACUGGUCGAGUCGGCCUGCGCGGAAGAUGUAACGGGGCUAAACCAUGCACCGAAGCUGCGGCAGCGAACGUAUCACCCAAGACAACUUUACGGAGUUGACGAUUGACGGAGCGAAGCGACGUCAAAGCGUUCAUUAAAGUCGAGUUGGCUUAGGGAUACGUUCGUUGGGU